UGAGGACAGAGUUCAGCACUAGUCCCCAACAGCCCAGCAACCGACACGACAAAAAUUGAACUGGUACAAAUACCUGAUACCCUGCAGUGAAAGCCUGCAUUUCUCCACAGCUUACUACAGACGCUUCUGUCCGAGCGAGCGAGUGUUUUCAACUGUGCAGUGUCGAUGCCCUCAAACAUCCCAGGAUUAGAAAGACUCCCACAGUUUUCUUCUUCUUCACUGCGGCACCGAGCCCGUCAUGCAUACGAGGACGAGAAAGAGGUGAUG